rnacentral:tRNA from 1 species
UGGCUCAGUUGGUAGAGCAUGGCAUUUGCAACGCCAGGGUUGUGGGUUCGAUUCCCAC